CACACUGUUACCGGAGACAUGCUCCGUAACAAAGCCGGGUUCAUCGGUAACGGAAACCCG
rnacentral:sRNA from 1 species